rnacentral:tRNA from 1 species
AAAAUCCGUCGAUCAAAAAUCAUGAGGGUUCAAGUCCCUCUAUCCCCA